AUUGAACGCUGGCGGCAGGCCUAACACAUGCAAGUCGAGCGGAGCGGCGGAAGGGGGAGUAAUGCCUAGGAAUCUGCCUGGUAGUGGGGGAUAACGUUCGGAAACGGGCGCUAAUCUCGCAUACUCUCAGAUGAGCCUAGGUCGGAUGAGCUAGUUGGGGGGGUAAAGGCCUACCAAGGCGACGAUCCGUAACUGGUCUGAGAGGAUGAUCAGUCACACUGGAACUGAGACACGGUCCAGACUCCUACGGGAGGCAGCAGUGGGGAAGAUUGGACAAUGGGCGAAAGCCUGAUCCAGCCAUGCCGCGUGUGUGAAGAAGGUCUUCGGGUUGUAAAGCACUUUAAGUUGGGAGGCGUUACCAACAGAAUAAGCACCGGCUAACUUCGUGCCAGCAGCCGCGGUAAUAC
rnacentral:rRNA from 1 species